rnacentral:rRNA from 1 species
GCAGCCGCGGUAAUACAUAGGGGGCAAGCGUUAUCCGGAAUUAUUGGGCGUAAAGCGUGCGUAGGCGGUUUAUUAAGUCUGAUGUUAAAUCCCACAGCUUAACUGUGGUAUGUCAUUGGAAACUGGUAAACUUGAGUACAGUAGGGGUAAGUGGAAUUCCAAGUGGAGCGGUGGAAUGCGUAGAUAUUUGGAGGAACACCAGUGGCGAAGGCGGCUUACUGGGCUGGAACUGACGCUGAGGCACGAAAGCGUGGGGAGCAAACAGGAUUAGAUACCCC